rnacentral:lncRNA from 1 species
ACUUUUCAGGGGCUGAGUAAAUAUAGGUCUGGUUGCAGUUAUUUCAGUGGGAGUCACAUGGUGAUAAUGAAAUCUGAUCUGUUUUGAGUCCUAGCUGAUCUAAGGAGAUACAAGCAUGAGGAAACCAAGACUUGCAAGAGGGGAAGGGACUUGUUCAGGGUCACCCUGCGGGUGAGCCACAGAGCUCAGAGCCAGCCGAAGGGAAGUGUGUGUCAUCUGAAUGCACUACUGCAGGGGUGGGUCUGUGCACACAUUUCCUCUAUUGUGCGUUGUAUUUCUAGAAAUGUAUGGAAGGUUAAUGAAUGAAGGGACUUAAUGGGGAUUAUCUGAAACUUACAUUUUUAGAAAAUUCUAAGUGUUCAAAGCUUUAAUUAAUACUUGAUAUAUAUAUAUACAUAUAUGUGUGUGUGUGUGUGUGUAUAUGAAGAAGAAGAGAGGGAGAAAAAAGGAGGAGGAGGGGGAGUUCCCAUCGUGGCACAGAGGAAAUGAAUCCGACUAGGAACCAUGAGGGUGCGGGUUCGAUCCCUGGCCUCGCUCAGUGGGUUAAGGAUCUGGCGUUGCCGUGAGCUGUGGUGUAGGUCACAGACGUGGCUCGGAUCUGGCAUGGCUGUGGCUGUGGUGUAGACCAGCACUGUAGCUCUGAUUAGACCCCUAGCCUGGGAACCUUCAUGUGCCAGGGGGUGCGGCCCUAAAGGGACCAAAAAAAUUUAAAAAAUUUAAAAAAAAAAAUAAGGAGGAGGGGGAAGGCGAGGAGGUAGAGGAGGAGAGAGACAUUAACUUAGAAAACUUACAAAGAUAUUUUGCUCCCAAAGUUUAUUUUUAAAUUGAUGGCAUUUUCUCUCAGAAACAGGUUUAUAAAGGUGGAUCGAAGGCCCACAUCAGGCUAGAACAACACAUUAGCUGUGCUCCCAGAGUGCCAUAGUGACCUCGAGCCCACACACGGUUGUGUGACAGCAGUGUUUCUGUGAAGAAGUGUGUUGAAGAUUCUGACCGGGAAGGCCAGGGAUCCAUCUCCCCAGGGAACCCCCCCUUCUCCCCACCCCUCCUGCAGGGUAGUGGAGGUGGUCUCUUCCCCACUACCAGGUGUCAAGGGCAUACAUUCCGGACGAGCUACAGACUGCAGUCCACAGGCCAACAGGUUCCUCUACCUGUGGCUGGGUACUGAAGCUGGGCUGAGGCCAGGGCCUUUCUGUUCUUCCUUGGCUGUUCUUUCCAUCUGCCAUGGCACCCUUCAGCUGACAUGCCAUGGCCAUCAGGACAAAGCAAAGCCUGCCUCUCCUCAACACUUAUCUUUUUAACAUAGGUAACAUUUUUAAUAAAAUAUAACUGUGAUACAAAGCAAAAUUGAAAGGGUGAGCUUGUUUUAUAUCAUCAUAUAUUAAAAAUAUAUAACUGAGUAUUUCAGGUUCAGGUCUUUAUUGUUUAGUUUAAUAGAGGACUCAUAGAUUCUCAUAUCUGCUUCUGCUCUGAAUCUGUUGUGAGAGAGUUCCCCUUGUGGCUCAGUGGUAACAAACACGACUAGUAUCCAUGAGGGCGCUCCUGCGAAAAUACAUGUUUUAGUGUCUGGAAAUUUAAAAGACUGAGAUUGAAAAAGGCAAGUAAUAUGUUAUGAAAAUAGUUUUGAUCAUACCAACUCCUGAAAGUUAGCACUUUUUGUUUGCUUUGUAGGGCCACUCCCGCGGCAUAUGGAGGUUCCCAGGCUAGG